rnacentral:lncRNA from 1 species
UGUCAUAACUACUUUCCUGGAGAGGUGAAGGAGAGAGUGGAGACUAUGUGUAUAAAACCACCUCUUUUUUCAUUCUCUUGUCUCUGGGCACAGGCUUUUAAGUAUUUGUAUAAUAUAGGAUCUCUGCCUUUUUGUUGCCAAGCAUUCAUAAGCAAGCUCAUGCGAACUCUGACUCUGAGGACAUGCGUGUUGAGGAGGAGCACAAUUACAGCCACAUAACAAACAAGACAGAACAAUGUAGGGAACCAGAACAACUGAACAUUCUGCCAGUGGAAUUAAUCCAGGACUCAGAGCAGCAAGGACAAAAGCUGGAGAGUUGGAGGCAACAUUCUGCAAAGAGAAGCUGCAUGACCAUUGUGUACACACAGAGAAGCUCAGCAACAUAUGUGACCUGAAUACCUGAAUGUAACCAGCAGCCAUUCCCCAGACAGAGCUUUCCAAAAAGAACAAAAACCACAACAAGAUCACAUGAACUUUGAACUUCUCAAAAAAGAAGGGUUUUGUGGAAGUGCCAAAUGCAGAGAAGCGUCAGCCAGUGGAAUCACAGAAUCACCCUCUGUGAGUCCUGAGUGGUUAAAAAACAGAAAGAAGGUCCCAUCUGUGAAAAAGCAGAUGACUAACAGGAGAGUCAUGUGCAGCUUUGGAAGAAGAAAAAAAAAUAGGAUGAAGAAGAGAAGCUGA